UACGAAGGGUGCAAACGUUGCUCGGAAUCAUUGGGCGUAAAGCGCACGUAGGCGGCUUCGCAAGUCGGAUGUGAAAUCCCUCGGCUCAACCGAGGACGUGCAUCCGAAACUGCGGAGCUUGAGUACUGAAGAGGAUCGCGGAAUUCCCGGUGUAGAGGUGAAAUUCGUAGAUAUCGGGAGGAACACCAGUGGCGAAGGCGGCUCACUGGCUCGUAACUGACGCUCAUGCACGACAGCGUGGGGAUCAAACAGG
rnacentral:rRNA from 1 species